rnacentral:rRNA from 1 species
GACGGAGGGUGCAAGCGUUGUUCGGAUUGACUGGGCGUAAAGGGCGUGUAGGCGGUCGGCCAAGUCUGAUGUGAAAGCCCGAGGCUCAGCCUCGGAAGUGCGUCGGAAACUAGUCGGCUGGAGCGCGAUAGAGGAGGGUGGAAUUCCUGGUGUAGCGGUGAAAUGCGUAGAUAUCAGGAGGAACACCGGCGGCGAAGGCGGCCCUCUGGAUCGUUGCUGACGCUGAGACGCGAAAGCGUGGGGAGCAAACCGG